CUUCUUUCUCUCCACAUUAGCUGUGUUUCCUCCACUGCAGUCCAAACAAGAAUCAACCAUGCUACCAUGAACGUCAUUAAAACGACGUUGGUUCACUCAGUGGCAACGGAGUGGCAGUCAGGGGCUCCUGUCGUGGAACAGGCACUAUUUGGAUCCUGCAGAAUCCAGGUGAUGUCACUGUGUACAAGUUUUGAAGCUUGAAAUUCUUUAGAUCAUCUUACAAGCGCAAGUAGGUAAGUGUUAGUCACUCCGUUUUGUCUGACUUUGUGUGACCCCACGGACUGUAGCCUGCCAGGCUCUCUAGACAAGAAUACUGGAGUGGGUUUGCCAUUCCCUUCUCCAGGCUCCACUGAUUUCUACAAGAGAAGAAAAGAGAACCCCAGAGAUGCUAUAUAUAAAAAAAUUGUUCCUGGACAUGACAGAAGUCACUGGAAACAAGGAGAAUAGGGGAAUCCUAGGACAAUAGAGAUGAGUAUCACACAGAUGAGAGAGACCUUAAUAAUCUUGUUUGAUCUCUUUCUGCCAGAUUCAUUGUAUGAAUAAUGCCUGGUAUAUGGUAGGUGUUAAAUUUAUAAAGGUGAUUAUAUAUACCUACCCAGAGACACACACAGUUUAAAAAGAAAAAAAACAACUGUGUCCUUUGGCACAGACGUCAAAUCUUAGGAUCUGGAAACACUGGAGAAUUUCCGGUUCAAUAAUUCCUGAAAAUCCUGUAAUAUUACUAGUACUGCUUCUUCAAAGCAUAGACAUCACCUGAUACUGAGGAUAUAAGGUUAAUUUCUUAGACUUUCAGACUGACUAUUUUCUGGAAGUUUGAGCCAAAGUAGCAAGCCAGUAGAGAGAACACAUUGCCGGCAUGCAGCCACUAAGGUAUUUUAAGACAGGCACUGCUUCAAAACUUACUCUAUGCUUCCUCCAGGCAGAUGGAAGAAGACCAGUUACAGGUUUGUAUAAAAUCCACGUGUAAGUGGAACAGUAAGUAGCAUAUAGUGUUUGUUUAUGGGCUUCCCAGAUAGUGCAGUGGUAAAAAAAAAAAAAAAAAAAAAAUCCACCUGCCAACGCAG
rnacentral:lncRNA from 1 species